rnacentral:lncRNA from 1 species
UGCACAGCCAUAUCUGACAGGAUAAAUGUGUUGUAUUAUACAGGUGAUUUUCAGCGAAGAUUCAGUGAUUACAUUGACUCUACUAACAGAAUAGAUCAAAACGAUUAUUCUGAAUGUGUGUAUAUGCAUAUGUAUGACGAUACAGAUCUCUGUCUUCCUCUCUUUUACAGAUAAAAGAGAGAGUGCGUAGCAGCUAAAUAAAGCAGAGAACAAGCCCGUCUCAGGACAUCAGUCCAAAGAAGAGGAUCUACCGGCAAAGAGAUAAGAGGGGGAGGACAGGGAACAAAAGAGAGAGUUGGAGGACAAGAGAGAGAGAGAGAAAAUGGGAUAUUGCGGCAUGUGGAUCUUCCUCUUGUCCCUGUCUCUCUUCUUACAAAGCGUCACUGCAGAGGCUGAAGUAUGUCGUACAGCCAUGCCUGCUGAUAUUGUGUUCCUGGUGGAUGAUUCCUGGUCAGUGGGUCCGACCAGCUUCCAGCAGAUCAAAGAGUUCAUAGCGGACAUCAUCC